GGGUAAUCUGGCUUCAACAUCUGCCACCCACUGAUCACCAGGGUUGAUUCAGCUGAUACCUGGCUACACAAGUGUCCCCUUCCUCCACUGUCCCACAUGUAGCCCUCUUCAAGUUGAAAAAUGGGUUGAAGAGGAUGACCUUCCCUGUUAGAAGAGGACCAUUCUUUAAUCAAGGGUGUGCUAGUAGCUCUCUAAGCUCUCAACAUAAAGGUUUCACCUGCACUGUCAGUUUUAUACUCAAUCACUGC
rnacentral:snRNA from 1 species